CAAAUGACUUUUACAUGAACCAUUGCAACGUUUUCAAGAAAUGUCGAGAACAAAAGAAGCUAAUAAGGAGGCGUAAAUGUAAUUUGAAGAGAGGCAAAGCAGUGUAGGGUUCAAGCCGUUUUCCUCAGAAGAGUCAAUUUUAUAAACAAGACUGGCAAGAAAAAAACAGCAGGAAACGUGGAAACAAACACGAUGAGAAAGAUUGGAUGAAACCUGAAUUACUUAUUAUUUCGUAAAUCCUUAUAUAGUAAUAUAACCAUCUUUGUCCACUACAACAAAAAGGUGGCCACUUCGAGGUAUAAUACUAAGCCGGAGGACCGUGGAGCAAAAUGUCAGUACAUUACCUUUUGUUUUCGUCGUAAAUCUUUUUGUAAGCUUCUUUAGAAAAAGAUGAUCCUUCUUUCUAAGACUCUCCUUUUCGACUAUGAAGAUUCACACCGUCUCUCCUCUACAAGUGCAGUAAUAGUUUUUUUAAUUCUACACACCGCAACAUAUUUCCUUAUUUUAUUUAUUAUAGCUCGUUCCUUUUCGUCAAUAGGUCCACCGGUGUUCCUUCAUUUUCUGUAUAUAUUGAUAGUGUAAGCACAAGUCCAGAACGGAAUUUAUCGUUAACAAGCGAUUUGCAUUAUCGCCUAAUUAUUGACUAAGCUCACUUGCUUACUUCAUGCAUAUCUCAUCGAUUGGGUGGAUGUGCGCUUUAUGUAAUCUAGAACGUUAUGGAAUGAUCGGCGUCUCGUCUAGUCGCAAGCUUGGUAUGUCAGCUGGGGCUGCAGAUCCUGUCCUAUAUAAAGGGACAUGCCCUCACCGCUUCUUUUCUCCAGUGUCUUUCGAUACAACAUCC